GGAUGGGAAGUGCUGCCUGGACUGCCCCCAGCAGAAAGCCCCGUGGUGUCCCUUCCCCGCUGGUGCAGAGGCUCCGGGCUGCCACCACAGAUCAUUUGACAAAUUUCACGGGCUUUUGAUACAGGCACAAAGGUUCACAGCCUGCUCGUCUAGUUGGUGAGACCGUCCAGUCCCUCUUGUGUCAUUUGUGGUGGCAUUGCAGACUUUGAGAACAAUCUGAAGGACAAACCCCAAGCUGUUUGGAUGCUGCUCAGCCCCAAAUACGAUUUUAUCGUGAGAGAGGCAUCACAAAGACUGAGUACAACAUAAUGGCAAGCCAGGUAUUGUUAUGAUUAUCAUUACUAUUAUUUAUGUAUAAUCAUUGAAGUAUUAACUGAAAACUGGGAAAUGGAGUUCCUGAGCCCCAAAGAGCUCAUAGUAACAGCUUCUUGUGGAGAAGACAACAAUAGCAAACCAACUCUGCUUCAUGGCACAAUUAAUGGUGCAUGCAGCCCAGGCUGGAAAUUCCUGAUCCUGCAUGAGUUUUCCUGUUUUCAAAGAUCAGAGAAGGUAAAAAAAUGCAGUUGGAUCCCACCUUUUUUAUUUUGGUGCCUCUUACUCUUCCCAGCACCUCUUUUUUCUGCCUGUUGGUGAAGGGCAUCCCUGCACGUCAGGACUGUGAUGUGUCUGUUUACCCAGCGAAGCAGCUGGAAACUUCUCAUCA